AUACGGAGGAUCCGAGCGUUAUCCGGAUUUAUUGGGUUUAAAGGGAGCGUAGGUGGACUGGUAAGUCAGUUGUGAAAGUUUGCGGCUCAACCGUAAAAUUGCAGUUGAUACUGUCAGUCUUGAGUACAGUAGAGGUGGGCGGAAUUCGUGGUGUAGCGGUGAAAUGCUUAGAUAUCACGAAGAACUCCGAUUGCGAAGGCAGCUCACUGGACUGCAACUGACACUGAUGCUCGAAAGUGUGGGUAUCAAACAGGAUUAGAUACCCUGGUAGUCCACACAGUAAACGAUGAAUACUCGCUGUUUGCGAUAUACAGUAAGCGGCCAAGCGAAAGCAUUAAGUAUUCCACCUGGGGAGUACGCCGGCAACGGUGAAACUCAAAGGAAUUGACGGGGGCCCGCACAAGCGGAGGAACAUGUGGUUUAAUUCGAUGAUACGCGAGGAACCUUACCCGGGCUUAAAUUGCAGUGGAAUGAUGUGGAAACAUGUCAGUGAGCAAUCACCGCUGUGAAGGUGCUGCAUGGUUGUCGUCAGCUCGUGCCGUGAGGUGUCGGCUUAAGUGCCAUAACGAGCGCAACCCUUAUCUUUAGUUACUAACAGGUUAUGCUGAGGACUCUAGAGAGACUGCCGUCGUAAGAUGUGAGGAAGGUGGGGAUGACGUCAAAUCAGCACGGCCCUUACGUCCGGGGCUACACACGUGUUACAAUGGGGGGUACAGAAGGCAGCUAGCGGGUGACCGUAUGCUAAUCCCAAAAGCCUCUCUCAGUUCGGAUCGAAGUCUGCAACCCGACUUCGUGAAGCUGGAUUCGCUAGUAAUCGCGCAUCAGCCACGGCGCGGUGAAUACGUUCCCGGGCCUUGUACACACCGCCCGUCAAGCCAUGGGAGCCGGGGGUACCUGAAGUACGUAACCGCAAGGAUCGUCCUAGGGUAAAACUGGUGACUGGGGCU
rnacentral:rRNA from 1 species